GUGGUUCCAUAGGGAACGUGCUCAAAGAAACUGCCUUUAUCUCACCUAACGCAGAACUAUCCCGGAGCUCAGAAAAGGAGUCCAUUCAUCCUCUAUAAUCACUAUUAUACAUCUUUGUUAAAAUGCCAAGAAGAUUUAUUCUAAAAGAAGGCACCAAAGCAAUGGGGUUCAUCAGCUCAGGAUCCAGCAGCGUAAUACAGAAGCCUGUUACAAGAUAUAAGGUUCUUCGCCCUCAGAAAUGUCACUGUCGGAAUCCUUGGAAAUCACACCAUCCAUAACUUCUAUUUCUUUAUAAUUUGCAAAGAACCCAUGUGACUCCAGUCAAGAACAAAAGAUUAAUUGUGAAUUAGUGAAGAACUCUAAUUUUUUCAAGAGGCCACAUGGAAAAUGAAUUCUAAUGGAGUCCUUUCCAUUACUCUUAUUUCUUAGUUCUUCAAUAAAGCAUGCGAUUUGAUCAC